ACUCAAAUGAAUAGACGGGGGCCCGCACAAGCGGCGGAGCGUGUGGUUCAAUUCGAUGCAACGCGAAGAACCUUACCAGGGCUUGACAUGCUGGUGGUACGGAUCCGAAAGGUGAAGGACCCUUCGGGGAGCCAGCACAGGUGCUGCAUGGCUGUCGUCAGCUCGUGCCGUGAGGUGUUGGGUUAAGUCCCGCAACGAGCGCAACCCUCGCCGUCAGUUAUACCUCUCUGACGGGACCGCUGGGAUAAACCCAGAGGAAGGUGGGGACGAAGUCAAGUCAGCAUGGCCCUUACGUCCUGGGCUACACACACGCUACAAUGGCCGGUACAAUGGGUCGCCAAGGCGCGAGCCGGAGCUAAUCCCUCAAAGCCGGCCCCAGUUCAGAUUGCAGGCUGCAACUCGCCUGCAUGAAGGCGGAGUCGCUAGUAACCGCAGGUCAGCACACUGCGGUGAAUACGUUCCCGGGCCUUGUACACACCGCCCGU
rnacentral:rRNA from 1 species